AGAGUUUGAUCAUGGCUCAGGAUGAACGCUGGCGGCGUGCCUAACACAUGCAAGUCGAGCGAUCUUCUUCGGAAGAGAGCGGCGGACGGGUGAGUAACGCGUGGGUAACCUGCCUCAUACACAUGGAUAACAUACCGAAAGGUAUGCUAAUACAAGAUGAUAUAAGAGAUUCGCAUGGAUUCCUUAUCAAAGCUCCGGCGGUAUGAGAUGGACCCGCGUCUGAUUAGCUAGUUGGUAAGGUAACGGCUUACCAAGGCGACGAUCAGUAGCCGACCUGAGAGGGUGAUCGGCCACAUUGGAACUGAGACACGGUCCAAACUCCUACGGGAGGCAGCAGUGGGGAAUAUUGCACAAUGGGCGAAAGCCUGAUGCAGCAACGCCGCGUGAGCGAUGAAGGCCUUCGGGUCGUAAAGCUCUGUCCUCAAGGAAGAUAAUGACGGUACUUGAGGAGGAAGCCCCGGCUAACUACGUGCCAGCAGCCGCGGUAAUACGUAGGGGGCCAGCGUUAUCCGGAUUUACUGGGCGUAAAGGGUGCGUAGGUGGUUUCUUAAGUCAGGAGUGAAAGGCUACGGCUCAACCGUAGUAAGCUCUUGAAACUGGGAAACUUGAGUGCAGGAGAGGAAAGUGGAAUUCCUAGUGUAGCGGUGAAAUGCGUAGAUAUUAGGAGGAACACCAGUAGCGAAGGCGGCUUUCUGGACUGUAACUGACACUGAGGCACGAAAGCGUGGGGAGCAAACAGGAUUAGAUACCCUGGUAGUCCACGCCGUAAACGAUGAGUACUAGGUGUCGGGGGUUACCCCCCUCGGUGCCGCAGCU
rnacentral:rRNA from 1 species